rnacentral:rRNA from 1 species
CAGUAGCCGCGGUAAUACGUAGGGUGCGAGCGUUAAUCGGAAUUACUGGGCGUAAAGCGUGCGCAGGCGGUUUUGUAAGACAGGCGUGAAAUCCCCGGGCUCAACCUGGGAAUGGCGCUUGUGACUGCAAAGCUAGAGUGCGGCAGAGGGAGAUGGAAUUCCGCGUGUAGCAGUGAAAUGCGUAGAUAUGCGGAGGAACACCGAUGGCGAAGGCAAUCCCCUGGGCCUGCACUGACGCUCAUGCACGAAAGCGUGGGGAGCAAACAGGAUUAGAUACCCGCGUAGUCCCUGUCUCUUAUAC